GUAAGUUCCGAUCUCCCUCAUGGGCCGCAAGCUAUUACGGUAUUCUAUGCAACCGCAACAGCUUUAAAGCCCAUAAAAAUGCAGAUGGCAUAGAACGCCAAAACAGCUUGCAGCCCAGGAGGGAGAUCAGAACUUA